UCUCUCUCUCUCUCUCUCUCUCUCUAGCACUCUUCUUUUCUUUGACCUCGCUUUACGCUUUCUCUUCUUUUAAACCCCAAUCUCAUAUCAGCUUCUCGAUCGGUUCUAAGGCAAAAAGGGUGAAAUUCUCAUCCUGAAAUUUGGUAUUUACCUCAAUCACGGAGCUUAGAUCUAAAUUUCCAACCAUUCAGCAACAAUGUCCUUUGCUCGGAAUUACCAUUCACAAGGUAAUUACCAUUCGCAAGGUGGCACUCUCCACGAUGAUCGUUGGUCCUCUUUCAAUAGAAACAACUACAGUAACAGGAACAGGAGUAUGAACACAAAUAGGAACGACAAUUACAACCAUAACUGGAAUUAUAACCAUUUCCAUGAAUUCCCAGGAAAAUUCAGGGACCACAUAAACAACAGUAACAAUUAUGUUAACAUUUCUAGUGGUGCCCCAUCCUUCAAAAGGAGAAAAUUUAGUGCUGGCACCUGGGGAGACACUGGGAGACACUUUGUGCAGCAGAUCACUUAUGAAACCACUGUUCCUUCAACCUACAACAAUUCUGUCCCUUCUACAAGAUCAAAUGCUGAGACCUCUACGUCUACCAGCUGCAAACGUGACCGCACAAAAUUGGAAGAUGAUGAACCUGCAUUUAUGUCCAGGGAUGAGAUUGAGAGACACUCCCCAUCGAGAAAAGAUGGUAUUGAUGCACUACGGGAAACACAUUUGCGGUAUUCUUACUGUGCAUUCCUUCAGAAUCUUGGACUGCGGCUUGAUUUGCCACAAACCACUGUUGGUACUGCCAUGGUUUUGUGCCAUCGUUUUUUUGUGCGAAGAUCACAUGCUUGCCAUGACAGAUUUUUAAUUGCUACUGCUGCUAUUUUUCUUGCUUCAAAGUCUGAGGAGACACCACGCCCUUUGAACAAUGUACUGAGAGCUUCUUGUGAAAUUUUUCACAAGCAAGAUAUGACUUUUUUGUCAUACAUUCUCCC
rnacentral:misc_RNA from 1 species